AGCCAAGUCAGCAUCAUGAAAAGGGCUGAAAGAAGCGACGAAUUUCUUUGCCAAAGAGUAAUUCGAUUUGCUUCUGUGUUUUCCUUUCAUCUCAAUUUUUCUCUCUCCCCUACAACUUUUUUGCUACUUUCA
rnacentral:ribozyme from 1 species